rnacentral:tRNA from 1 species
GUUCCUGUAGCGCAAUGGAUAGCGCGUUGGACUUCUAAUCCAAAGGUUCGAAUCCUACCUGGGAUG